rnacentral:rRNA from 1 species
UACAGAGGUCUCAAGCGUUGUUCGGAUUCAUUGGGCGUAAAGGGUGCGUAGGCGGCGCGGUAAGUCGGGUGUGAAAUCUCGGGGCUUAACUCCGAAACUGCAUUCGAUACUGCCGUGCUUGAGGACUGGAGAGGAGACUGGAAUUUACGGUGUAGCGGUGAAAUGCGUAGAUAUCGUAAGGAAGACCAGUGGCGAAGGCGGGUCUCUGGACAGUUCCUGACACUGAGGCACGAAGGCCAGGGGAGCAAACGGG